GUUUUUAAUUAGUGCAGAAAAUGAACAUUUUAUAUUUCAUUUUCAUGAAAAUUUCUUGUUUCAUGAAAAUUUCUUCUCUUAGCGUUCAUUUUCAUUAUUCCAAGGAGUUUCAAAAAAUUCAAGCAUCUUCAGGAUAUGUAGAGGCAGGAAAGUUUUGGAUGAGAACCCUAGCUGCUUGUUCCAUUGAUGAGAAGGCAUCGGAGAAACCAUCAAACCAGGAAAGCAAGCGUCAACCCAGUUCUUGCUGUACUGGCUAUUUGCUUACUUGACAGUUGUCCUGACAAAAAUAUGGGAUAUCAAAAUGGGAAAAGUACAGCCAACAAACUGAAGGUGUCAUUUUGUCAUGGAUAUCAAAACGUAUGCUGAGCCAGGAUGCACAUUGGUUCCCAAUGCUCAAGGCUGCAGCUCUUUAGCUCUAUUCGUUAUGCUUGGAUAAGUUUCCAGUUUCACUGGAGUUGCUUAAGUCAUCGAGUCCUGCCUUAACCAGGUAUCUUAAAAGUGUGUUGAAUCAUAUGCAUCAAUGUUGAUACACAUGCAAUUCAAUCUUUUGCCUCAUUUGCUAACAAAGGCGAAAGCUUUGGAAGAAUAAUACUACUUUUUUAUGGUGAUGCAUACAAUUGACAGGAAGAAGGAAGUGACUUCAAACCAUUCACACACUUCAUUAUCUGAUGCCACAAAAGGCAGGCAAAGCAGCUUCUAAGCAUCAAUCUGUAACAUUGAUAAAGACAAUCAUUGAACUUGGAACUCAAAUGAUAGAAGAUACAUAACUAGGUUCAGGUUUUAAUAGCAAGUUGCACAAGCACAGCAAGCAUAGUACUUACAACAUAUACGAAUUUAAAACCCUUAUUACUGUGGAGAAAAAUCUGGCUGGCCUACUGAUGAAGACUUUGAUGCCUCCAUUACAACAUAAGCUUGAUCCAAACAGCUUUGAGUAUCAUCACAAAUGGUCAUCUUCUCCACUUCGUCUUGGGUAUAAAUAUGGAUCUUGGAUACCACAUUACAGAACUCAUGCCAUGGAUC
rnacentral:misc_RNA from 1 species